UACGUAGGGAGCAAGCGUUGUCCGGAUUCACUGGGUGUAAAGGGUGCGCAGGCGGGAGAGUAAGUCAGAGGGGAAAUCUCACAGCUUAACUGUGAAACUGCCUUUGAUACUGCUUUUCUUGAGUUCGGGAGAGGUUGAUGGAAUUCCAGGUGUAGCGGUGAAAUGCGUAGAUAUCUGGAAGAACACCAGUGGCGAAGGCGGUCAACUGGCCCGUAACUGACGCUCAGGCACGAAAGCGUGGGUAGCGAACAGG
rnacentral:rRNA from 1 species